rnacentral:rRNA from 1 species
UAGGUAGGGGGCAAGCGUUGUCCGGAAUUAUUGGGCGUAAAGGGCGUGUAGGUGGAUUUUUAAGUCGUGUGUCUAAGUGCGGAGCUCAACUCCGUAUAGGCGCAGGAAACUGGGAAUCUUGAGUGCAGGAGAGGAAAGUGGAAUUCCCAGUGUAGCGGUGAAAUGCGUAGAUAUUGGGAGGAACACCAGUGUCGAAGGCGCCUUUCUGGACUGUGUCUGACACUGAGGCGCGAAAGCUAGGGGAGCGAACGGG